ensembl:lncRNA
AUUAGACACACUGUUACUGUGAAAUGUAUUACCGUAGCGUAAGACUUGCACAACAUUCAUAAUGAGUAUGUUGACGGUUUAGGUUUCUUUGGGUGAAUAACUGAGACCACGUCCAGUAAAUUUACGUCCAGGCACUGUCGAUUGAACACCAGGCUGAAAAGGAUCAUUAAGUUUGCUCAUACGUCCAGGCUGAAAAGGAUCACUAAGUUUGCUCAUACAUCCAGGCACUGUCGAUUGAACACCAGGCUGAAAAGGAUCAUUAAGUUUGCUCAUACGUCCAGGCUGAAAAGGAUCAUUAAGUUUGCUCAUACGUCC